UAAUGCAAGUCGAACGAUGAAGUUCCUUCGGGAAUGGAUUAGUGGCGAACGGGUGAGGAACACGUGAGAAACCUGCCUUUCAUUCUGGGAUAACACCGGGAAACCGGUGCUAAUACCGGAUACUCCAUCUUGGCGGCAUCGCCGAGCUGGGAAAAAAUUUUGAUGAAAGAUGGUCUCGCGGCCUAUCAGCUAGUUGGUGAGGUAAAGGCUCACCAAGGCAACGACGGGUAGCCGGCCUGAGAGGGCGACCGGCCACACUGGGACUGAGACACGGCCCAGACUCCUACGGGAGGCAGCAGUAGGGAAUAUUGGGCAAUGGGCGAAAGCCUGACCCAGCGACGCCGCGUGAGGGAUGAAGGUCUUCGGAUUGUAAACCUCUUUCAGUAGGGAAGAAGCGAAAGUGACGGUAUCUAAAGGGGGGAGCACCGGCUAACUAUGUGCCAGCAGCCGCGGUAAUACAUAGGGUGCAAGCGUUGUCCGGAAUUAUUGGGCGUAAAGAGCUCGUAGGUCGUUUGUCGCGUCGAUUGUGAAAAUCUGAGGCUCAACCUCAGACCUGCAGUCGAUACGGGCAAACUAGAGUGUGGUAGGGGAGACUGGAAUUCCUGGUGUAGCGGUGGAAUGCGCAGAUAUCAGGAGGAACACCAAUGGCGAAGGCAGGUCUCUGGGCCAUAACUGACACUGAGGAGCGAAAGUGCGGGGA
rnacentral:rRNA from 1 species